UGGGGAAUUUUGGACAAUGGGCGCAAGCCUGAUCCAGCAAUGCCGCGUGCAGGAUGAAGGCCUUCGGGUUGUAAACUGCUUUUGUACGGAACGAAAAAGCUCUCUCUAAUACAGGGGGUGAAUGACGGUACCGUAAGAAUAAGCACCGGCUAACUACGUGCCAGCAGCCGCGGUAAUACGUAGGGUGCAAGCGUUAAUCGGAAUUACUGGGCGUAAAGCGUGCGCAGGCGGUUUUGUAAGACAGAGGUGAAAUCCCCGGGCUCAACCUGGGAACUGCCUUUGUGACUGCAAAGCUGGAGUGCGGCAGAGGGGGAUGGAAUUCCGCGUGUAGCAGUGAAAUGCGUAGAUAUGCGGAGGAACACCGAUGGCGAAGGCAAUCCCCUGGGCCUGCACUGACGCUCAUGCACGAAAGCGUGGGUAGCAAACA
rnacentral:rRNA from 1 species